rnacentral:rRNA from 1 species
GCGAGUGAGCGGCAAAAGCUCAAAUUUGAAAUCUGGCACCUUCGGUGUCCGAGUUGUAAUUUGAAGAAGGUAACUUUGGAGUUGGCUCUUGUCUAUGUUCCUUGGAACAGGACGUCACAGAGGGUGAGAAUCCCGUGCGAUGAGAUGCCCAAUUCUAUGUAAAGUGCUUUCGAAGAGUCGAGUUGUUUGGGAAUGCAGCUCUAAGUGGGUGGUAAAUUCCAUCUAAAGCUAAAUAUUGGCGAGAGACCGAUAGCGAACAAGUACAGUGAUGGAAAGAUGAAAAGAACUUUGAAAAGAGAGUGAAAAAGUACGUGAAAUUGUUGAAAGGGAAGGGCUUGAGAUCAGACUUGGUAUUUUGCGAUCCUUUCCUUCUUGGUUGGGUUCCUCGCAGCUUACUGGGCCAGCAUCGGUUUGGAUGGUAGGAUAAUGACUAAGGAAUGUGGCUCUACUUCGGUGGAGUGUUAUAGCCUUGGUUGAUACUGCCUGUCUAGACCGAGGACUGCGUCUUUUGACUAGGAUGUUGGCAUAAUGAUCUUAAGCCACCCGUCUUGAAACACGGACCA